rfam:Lentibacillus amyloliquefaciens strain LAM0015, complete genome.
CCAGUGCUACAACCGCUCAGAACAGGCUUCUGAAUUCCUUUUGAACAACAACAAACAGGAAUGCCUGCAUGGCGAGUCUUAGUAAUCAG